AGACACUAGAGGAUCGUUACUCUGAAAUGUGCACCCUAUGGGGUUACACCAGGUUUGUGUGCUUGAAGAACGUGUAGAACAGUAUUGCCGAUGUCACGAAGAGGCUCAAGAAUACCAGCCAAAUUUGCCAAACUGCAAUGGGGAAAGCGUACACCGGAAAAUCUUGUCAGCAGGGACGUUGAGCUUCGUAAUCUCUGCUCCCCAUUGGUGCGAGGUGGAUAUCACAAUCCUGCAACAACAGCAAACAAGAGGCCAUUCAGUUCUUUCAUUCAAGCUUGGACCAUCAACCAGUGAGGAUUCUUCCAAGUGAAUAGCUGAAUAAACUCUGACUUCACUAUGAACAAAUACUGAACUAGUUGCUACUUCACUAGUUUGGCAGUGCUUCAGGAAGACAGGUUAUCUCUAAAAACUUCUGUUCUGGAUACAGUCAGCGAUUAUUUCAGGUUUGUCUCGCUUCUUGUUACAGGAAAUACCAGUAGUUACCAUUUACCUUUCAGUAGGGCAAAAUUCAAUGGAGGAAAUUGGGGAGCCAAGAUGGACCUUCUUCAUCAAGUGAGAAACUUGCAUCUUCUGUACAUCGGCAACACAACAGUCUCCAUCACGGCUUCCUCUAGAUAAAGAUGAAAAAUGUAUCCAUGUCAGUACCACUUCACAGCCUAAAGAAGGAUGUCGCGUCGACGCGGAAGGCUCAGCAGAUCUAGACAAGCACAUUAAGUCGGACGAUGAACAAGUAGUAUGACAUGCAGACAAGCUCUUUUUGUUACGAAAUGUACGCAGAAUAGCAGAUGGAUUGUAGCUGAGAAGUGUGAGAAAAGACGAUUCAGAAAUUGUUUGAAUUCUGGAAAGGAAAAACUAUCCUGAAUACCUCAGACUUCGGCGAUGCAGGUAUGCCUAGAAAUGCUAAAUAUAGAAGUACUGUCACAGCCAGUAUUACAUGAGAUGCACCACCACAUCCACUUACAGUGCGAGAUACUUCCCAUCCAAGCUAACUGAAAGUGUGGAAAUGGGCUUUCGCAGGAGUCUUUUGUAUCCAAUUCUCUUCCAGUUACUUAUGUUCAAAACCAUAGUCACGAUAUCAUU